UUGCUUUGGCAGCAUGUAUACUAAAAUUGAAAUGAUACCGAGAAGAUUAGCAUGGCCCCUGAACAAGGAUGACAUGCAAAUUUGUGAAGCAUUCCAUAUUUUU
rnacentral:snRNA from 1 species